rnacentral:rRNA from 1 species
CCUACGGGUGGCAGCAGUGAGGAAUAUUGGUCAAUGGACGAGAGUCUGAACCAGCCAAGUAGCGUGAAGGAUGACUGCCCUAUGGGUUGUAAACUUCUUUUAUAUGGGAAUAAAAUGUUCCACGUGUGGGAUUUUGUAUGUACCAUAUGAAUAAGGAUCGGCUAACUCCGUGCCAGCAGCCGCGGUAAUACGGAGGAUCCGAGCGUUAGCCGGAUUUAUUGGGUUUAAAGGGAGCGUAGGUGGAUUGUUAAGUCAGUUGUGAAAGUUUGCGGCUCAACCGUAAAAGUGCAGUUGAAACUGGCAGUCUUGAGUACAGUAGAGGUGGGCGGAAUUCGUGGUGUAGCGGUGAAAUGCUUAGAUAUCACGAAGAACUCCGAUGGCGAAGGCAGUUCACUGGACUGCAACUGACACUGAGGCUCGAAAGUGUGGGUAUCAAACAGGAUUAGAUACCCCAGUAGUC